CUAGGAGCAGCCGCAGGCUCAAUCUCGGUCAUUUCAGUCUCUGCGUGCCAAGCUUUGACAGCUGAUGCGAACCCCUCUCCCCGCCCCACACACACACGCUCCCAAAACUGCAAGCGCGAGCCGUGAGCCUUCCUGCCUUUGGAGCAACGGCCUCUUGGAGGACACAGGAGGGCAGCAUCCCCAGCUCCUAGGAGGCAGGUGACCUGCGGCUUUGCGGGACGCCUCCCCUCAUUUAUUAACGGGAUUCACACUCGCCUCGCGUUUUACCCCGUGAUUUCUAGGAGGCUGCUCCUAGUGCAUAUUGUGCCCGACAGCCAAGGAGAAGGAGUAGGGGCUGCUGCUACCAGGUGAUGAAUUUCUUUGCAAGGUCAUUGCUUUCAGUCUCCUGACUUAUCACUGGCUUUGAAGGAACUCUAGACUCCUCAUCUGAGCAAGGCCAUGACGACAGAGAUAACAAAGACUCUGCAGAACUUUCUGGGAAAAUGCUACAAACCACAGAGCAAGAAGAUAAGUCCAGAGUCAUCAGGGAAGAUGAGGUUACUUUGACACGCACAGUAGGAGUACAGGAGGAAACUGUGACCUGUUCCAGAGAGGGCCGUGCAGCUUGCUAAAAGGCAUGCUAGUGCUCUCUGACUAUGCAGUGAUUGGCAAUGUGAAGAUGUUGCUAGCUACCAGCACGAUCAAUGGGACAAUGGGAACAACUUCUUACGCUUACUAAUCAUUCACCUUCAUGCUGAAAUGGUAUAGAACCUUCUAGAAGUUUGGUUUCUGAUGACAUCAUUCACUGGAGAAACAAGCUCUACUAGAAGAUAUGAAGCAGCUGAAUGAAGAUGCAAAGUUGCUCUUUAUAAGUUAUAGAAAUGCCUGAUCCAGACAAAAACUGAUGCAGAAAUAAGGCCUGGGGAUACUUAACAAUGCCUUCCGGCUGAGUCUUGCUCCUUCCAAAACUCUAAUGGACAACUAUGAGGUCUCUGGAGGAAUGACAAGGGAAUUGGUAGAUGCCCUGAGACUUCAAGCAAUUGAAGUCAUCCAGAAAGCCUUUGAUGCCUCAGUAAAUCCAUGGGAAUCAAAGAGCAGACUAUGAAGCAGAUCUAUUUUCUGCCCCCAUCACUCUCCUCUGUAAGACAGCAACUAGGUAUGAUAAUGAUUACAAACUUGAAAUGCUGUGUCUUGGGAGGAUGGGGGAAUGAUACACAGUCUAGGUAUUCCUGUGUGAAUGGUUGGCAGGCACCUUCCCCUGCUCCCUGACCUUGGACUUCCUAAAUCAGUCAUUCUUUUUUUUUUA